rnacentral:rRNA from 1 species
GAUGAACGCUAGCGGCAGGCUUAAUACAUGCAAGUCGAGGGGCAGCAGGACUGUAGCAAUACAGUUGCUGGCGACCGGCAAACGGGUGCGGAACACGUACGCAACCUUCCUUUAAGUGAGGGAUAGCCCAGGGAAACUUGGAUUAAUACCUCGUAAUAUUUGAGAGUGGCAUCACUUUUUAAUUAUAGCUCCGGAGCUUCAAGAUGGGCGGGCGACUGAUUAGGUAGUUGGCGGGGUAACGGCCCACCAAGCCUGCGAUCAGUAACUGGUGUGAGAGCACGACCAGUCACACGGGCACUGAGACACGGGCCCGACUCCUACGGGAGGCAGCAGUAAGGAAUAUUGGUCAAUGGACGCAAGUCUGAACCAGCCAUGCCGCGUGGAGGAUGAAGGUCCUCUGGAUUGUAAACUUCUUUUAUCUGGGAAGAAACCCAUAUUUUCUAGUGUGGUUGACGGUACCAGAUGAAUAAGCACUGGCUAACUCCGUGCCAGCCGCCGCGGUAAGAC